rnacentral:rRNA from 1 species
GUGUCAGCCGCCGCGGUAAUACGAGGGGAGCAAGCGUUGUUCGGAAUCAUUGGGCGUAAAGGGCGCGUAGGCGGCCGUACCAGUCUGGGGUGAAAGCCCUCGGCUCAACCGAGGAAUUGCCUUGGAAACUGUACGGCUUGAGUAUUGGAGAGGAAAGCGGAAUUCCCAGUGUAGCGGUGAAAUGCGUAGAUAUUGGGAGGAACACCUGUGGCGAAGGCGGCUUUCUGGACAAUCACUGACGCUGAGGCGCGAAAGCCAGGGGAGCAAACGGGAUUAGAAACCCCUGUAGUCC